UGCGGAAUUUUAGAUAAUGGAGGCAACUCUGAUCUAGCGACGCCGCGUGCAGGAAGAAGGUCUUCGGAUUGUAAACUGCUGUGGUAAGGGAAAAAUGUCAUGUAGAGUGGAAAGCUACAUGGAGGGAUGGUACUUUACUAGAAAGCCCCGGCUAACUACGUGCCAGCAGCCGCGGUAAUACGUAGGGGGCGAGCGUUACCCGGAAUCACUGGGCGUAAAGGGAGCGUAGGUGGCCUGACAUGUCAACUGUGAAAACCCGGAGCUCAACUCCGGACUUGCAGUUGAAACUGCCAGGCUUGAGGACGGUAGAGGAAGACGGAGCUGCCAGUGUAGGGGUAAAAUCCUUAGAUAUUGGCAGGAACGCCGGUGACGAAGGUGGUUUUCUGGGCCGGUUCUGACACUGAUGCUCGAAAGCCAGGGGAGCGAACGG
rnacentral:rRNA from 1 species